AUCUUCAACCUGCAAUAUCAAGAAGAAGCAGCGUCCACACUGGAAUUCCUUCAAAGAUGAUUUGUUGGAAUAAAUCCGGAAAAAGGGACCAAGGCUGCAAAAGGAAAAGUGACAUCUAAAAAGACUGGGAAAACUGUUCAAAAGAAGACCAUGACAGUCAAUCUGAACGUGUCAAAUCUUUUAAAAAGAUUGAUGGACUUUGAGUGGCACUUUAUUUAAAAUGUUUUUUGUUUUACAGUGGUUUAUAUCCAGAAAGGACUGGUGUUUGAUAAAGCCUUUUGUUGAUUUAUUUUACUUAUA